UGAGGAAUUUUGCGCAAUGGGAGCAACCCUGAUGCAGCGACGCCGCGUGAGUGAAGAAGUAUUUCGGUAUGUAAAGCUCUAUCAGCAGGGAAGAAAAUGACGGUACCUGACUAAGAAGCCCCGGCUAACUACGUGCCAGCAGCCGCGGUAAUACGUAGGGGGCAAGCGUUAUCCGGAUUUACUGGGUGUAAAGGGAGCGUAGAUGGCAUGGCAAGUCAGAUGUGAAAACCCGUGGCUCAACCACGGGACUGCAUUUGAAACUGUCAAGCUGGAGUGCAGGAGAGGUAAGUGGAAUUCCUAGUGUAGCGGUGAAAUGCGUAGAUAUUAGGAGGAACACCAGUGGCGAAGGCGGCUUACUGGACUGUAACUGACAUUGAGGCUCGAAAGCGUGGGGAGCAAACA
rnacentral:rRNA from 1 species